AUCUAGCUACUGGCAAUGUCUUAAUUAUUUUCCUAUUUUGCCCUUGCCCUUUCCAUGUGCUCUCUAGCGUACUCUUCUCCGGUGACUCUCUUCAACCUGAACCUCUGUCACCACCUUCCUUCUUCCUCGUUUCUCCUCCCAGCCUUAAUCUGAAUAAACAAGAGAAGCGUUUCUAGAGUAACGCAAGAGCGAAGACUUGCGAGUUUGAAAAUUUGUUCUAUGGUUUCCAUGAUUCAGAGUUAAGAGGAAACAGAAUAUGGAGGAUCAGAUGGUAACACUUAUGUGUCGUUGGAAUGGGAAGAUUACAACUGCAUCACUGGGUUUGGAUUAUGAAGGUGGUAAGCUGAAGGGAAUCAGGGUCAAUCAUAGUAUUAGUCAUUCAGAGUUGUUGGAUAAAAUGUAUGAGAUAACUGGCUAUAACAGGAAGCAGUUUGAUAUCAAGAUUACAUGUAGAUAUCCAGUGUCUAGGGGAUACAUAGCCUACCUGAUAGAUGACAAGGAUUCCACUGAAAUAAUGCUUGAAUUGGGACAACAUCCUGAUGUACAUGCUGUUGAGUUGUACUUGGUAAAUGAAACUUUACACAUUGAGAGUGGAAGGGAUGAUCCAGUACUUUUCCAGAGUGGUCCAGACUAUGAGGGGAGAGAGGAGUCUCCCCACAUCAAUGUUGGAAGUGAGAAGGAUGGGACUGGGGAUCCUGUUCAGGAACUAAAUGAAGCAGAAGGCAAUGCCUGGGUGUCAGAAGCUAAUGCCAACAACAAUAUUGCAGAAGUUGAACGGGAACCUAUUGAUGAGUUCACAAAUGUGAGCUGGGUGAAUGAUGCGGUUGCCAGUAACCAUGUAGCAGGAGUUCUAGUUGUUCCAGAGAAUGUAAAAGAUGUGCUACAUGUUGGCCAAAUAUUUCAAACAAAACAACAAUUACAGCAUGCUGUGAAAGAAUAUGCUAUCAGGACACAUCAGCAGUACAUUGUCCUAGAGUCAACCCCAUCGUUGCUGGCUCUGAAGUGUAAAAAUAAAGGUUGUCUGUGGAGGCUUCGUGCAUCUUUGAAGAAGAAUUCCUCCUCUUCAUGUUUUGCCAUUACAAGAUAUGCAGGGCCACACACUUGUGUCAAGCCCAGCAUUAUCCAGGACCAUGCGCAGUUAGAUGCUGAAUUCAUUUGUAGUAAAAUACUGGGGCUGGUCAAAGCACAAUUAUCAAUCACACCAGCGGAAAUUCAGGCACAUAUGGCAAAUACCUAUGACUAUAAUAUUUCAUAUAUGAAGGCAUGGAAGGCAAAACAGAAGGCGUUUGAGAAGAUAUUUGGCAACUGGGAAGAAUCGUUUGCCUUGUUGCCAAGAUAUCUCGAUGCGUUGAAAAUGAAAAACCCUGGCACCAUUGUCUUGUUACAAUCUGAGCAUGUAAGUGGUCAGUCCAGUGUAUUUGAGCGUGUGUUUUGGGCAUUUGGCCCCUCAAUUGAGGGAUUCAAGCAUUGUCGGCCUGUAAUAAGCAUCGACAGCACACAAUUGUCUGGGAAGUAUGGGGGAAUGCUGUUAAUUGCAACUGGAGUUGAUGGGAACAAUGGCUUAUUUCCCCUUGCAUUUGCUAUUGUUGUGAAGGAGAACGGGAGUAAUUGGUCAUGGUUUUUGGAUAAUGUUAGAGACAUUGUUGGUAAUCAAAAUGGACUUUGUAUUAUAUCGGAUUGCCACAAUGAUAUCUUAGCGGCAAUGAGGAGGCCGGAUUGGCAAGAACCGAAUGCCUUUCAUCGCAUUUGCAUGCGUCACUUAGCCAGCAAUUUUAAUAGGAGGUUUCAUGAUGCUGCUUUAAAGAACCUUCUCAUUAGGGCUGCAGAGAAAAAUCAAUGUCAAAAGUAUGAUAGGAUUAUUGAGUUAAUAACCAACAUUAGUCUGAAUGCUCGGCAAUGGAUAGAUGAAAUUCCUGCUAUGCAAUGGGCUCUUGCACAUGAUGAUUUCCACCGUUUUGGAAUCAUGACAACAAACAUGUCAGAAACUGUCAACAGUGUACUGAAAGGAGCUCGUGCAUUGCCAAUAACAGCGUUAGUGAGACUAACAUUUUACCGAUUGAACACAUACUUCAUCACGCGAAGGGAGCAAAUGGCAGCAUAUGGGUCACAGUUCACUCCACUUGUUGAGGGGAAACUUGCAUGUUAUAUGAGCAGAGCAGCAGGGCAUGGGGUUAAGUGGUUAAAUGAUGUACCUGAUCUUUUUGAAGUGAUUACCAAAGGAACUAAAGGCGAGCCUCAUACCCAUGUUGUAAAUCUAGGGGCCCGCAUAUGUACAUGUGGAAAACUUCAGAUUUAUGGCUAUCCAUGCUCGCAUGUGAUUGCAGUGUGCCAGUCAAUUAUGUUGGAUCCCCAGACUCUUGUUGAUGAUUGGUAUAAAGUCAACACUUUUGCACUAACAUAUGCUUCUGGUUUUCAUUCUGUACCUGACAUAGGCUCCUGGCCUCCUUAUGAAGGACCUAGCAUAGUCCCUCCCCCAGAUAGAGAACGUACCAGAGGUCGGCCACAGUCAGUGCAAUUGCAGAAUGAGAUGGAUGAGCAUGGUCGUCGUUGUGUAGGCCCAGAGAGGGAAGGUCGUGGGCCGUCAAACUGUAGUGCAUGCAAAAAACCAGGGCACAACCGUCGACGUUGUUUGUUAGCCCAGGGAGGAGCAUCAGCAUAAGCGCAGCAAAGCCAUUCUCAUCCUAGUUGAUACUUGAUAAUUCAUUGGUGAAAAGUUGGAUGAACAAUAUGGAAGGGAUUGAAGCAUACACAGCUGAUCAGGGACACGGGAGUAAUAUGAUUAUCUAGGAAUAUCUUAUUCCAUUGGAGUCAGCUUUCUGGAAACCUCCAAGGACAUGAAUUGGAAAAGAGUAGGUUAGUAAGGAUUAUAUGUACACUGAAAAUAUCCUACAGCAGAGCCCCUUUUCCUCCUCUCUUUUAUUCCUUCUAUGUUUCCUGCUAGCAGGUUUUAUAUUUAUUUUUUCUGUUUUCUAUAAUGAAGUUGCCAAGUUGGUCAUUCAUUAGGGAGGGAGGUAAAGAAGGAAUUGGGGUUUGCAUUUAAUUUUCCACUGUCAAUUGAAAUCUGAUCGUAAGGUCAUCCUUUGCUUGUUCUACUUAGCUAUAAAUCUAUGUUGUCAGUUGAAAUUUCUGCCGUAAACUUUAGCCAAUAUUUCUAGAAAAAAAAAAGAAGAAAAACUUAGUCAUUAUUGUUAUUUAUUGUAGUAUUCUAUUUCCUACUUUUUAAGCUGUUUUGAUUAUUAAUGAAGUUGUUUUUCAGAAGAAGACAAUAGUCUAGCUAUCAACAGAGAGGAGUGAGCAUUUCUUCUUGAGCAAGUACCCCUGAGUCCCUGACUACUAUGAAAAUGUAAACGUUGAUGUCUGAUGAAAUAUUCAAUCUAAUAUUUUGUCAAAUUGGUCAAACCACUUUUUAGCACAGUUCAACAUGGAUUUAAUAUAGUAUAAAAAAUGAUAUGUUUUAAUAAAUAUAUUAAAAUCAUUACAAAAUAAUUGUCUGGUGUUCUGUGAGGAAUCAAGCCCAGAACUAACUUGUGUUGUUGAAACUAUCAUAGCAUUCUUUUUAUUGUCCUUUGUGUUAUUCCCAAAAGUUUUUUCUGUUAGGGGUAUAAAAGAGUUUUCAAAAUAUUUUGAAAGUGACUUAUCAUUAUGUCAUUGUCUCAUACACUUUUUGAGUACACAUGUGAAAUGAUAGGAUUUUAUCCCUAUGGAAAGAAAAUGUAUAAUACUAAGAGGGAAAAAAAUAAGGUUACAAAUUAUUUGACAUCUUAAGGGGUAUCAAUAAGAGAAUCCGUUAUUUAAAAGUUGAAAUUCUUUAAAGUUUACGGAUAUAUCAUAUAUGUAGAUUGAGAUGUCAUUAUGGGCAGUCUUGUUUCACCAGGACAUUGGGUACAUGAGGUGCACUUUGGAAAACUGCUUAUUUCCUAAUUUAUCAAAUGUUACACAGGCAGAUAUCAUCCUGAUUUAUCAACUGUUUCACAAACAUCAAUUCACCAAAAAACCACUGCUGAUGCGGUAAAUUUGCCAACAACAAAUGAUCAAUCAAUCUUAUGAAAUUCCUGGGGAAAAUUAGGUCUGCUCUUUCUGAUGGAUUUCCUUCUGCCAAGUAUUUCAACUGCAUUAUUCGUAUUUCUUUUAUGGAGCAUCAAACAUUCCUCAAGCUGAAGCACUAUCUUCACUUUAUGUGCAUGGCCUUAGAGUGGGUUCUGUGGUGGUUUUUCCUCAGUUCUAGUGUGCAUGGAGGUAAGAGUACACAAUGUGUUGUGUUUCCUGAGAUUCUUGAGAGGGUCCAUGUAGCUACAAAUCCAGGAAUCAGAUUUGGAACUGGAGAACAGCUAGCACCUUUAUCAUAGGGAUGACAAUUUAGAAGACUGAUAAAAUAUUCAAGCAGCUCUAAAAAUGAGCCAGAGUACUGCUUGAUGUGAGUGGUGGCUUCUUAGACAGUUAUGGUGGUUUGUCUGACUGGGAUUUUAGGUGGUUGGACCUAAUAUCUCCACAUGGCAGAUUAGUUGGGGCCCAAAUUUCAACUCAAUUAAGAGUUGCCCUUGCGGUGACUAAAAAGCUCUGAAGAUUUCAUCAAAGGCAUACUGAGUGCAAUGAGGCUCCUCCCACUGCGGGGUUUGGGGAAGGUCAUUACUUUUUGAAAAACCAAUGGGUGAUUGAAAAUGCAAGGGAAAUUAAGAUGCUAAUACAUAGGGGUAAUUAUUAUUAUUAUUGUUCUUUUUUGGAAAAAUUGACAUAUGGCCAGUCCAAA